CGCCAGGUGGCUGAAAGUAAGCGAUGGAAUUUUAACCCAUUAAAUAGUAUCAUAACUUCUACUUCUGACGG
rnacentral:tRNA from 1 species